AUUGAACGCUGGCGGCAUGCCUUACACAUGCAAGUCGCACGGCAGCACGGGAGCACUCCUGGUGGCGAGUGGCGAACGGGUGAGUAAUAUAUCGGAACGUGCCCAGGCGGGGGGGAUAACGCAGCGAACGCUGUUCUAAUACCGCAUACGCUCUAAGGGUGAAAGCGGGGGCUCGCAAGACCUCGCGCGAUUGGAGCGGCCGAUAUCAGAUUAGCUAGGUGGUGGGGUAAAGGCCCACCACGGCGACGAUCUGUAGCUGGUCUGAGAGGACGACCAGCCACACUGGAACUGAGACACGGUCCAGACUCCUACGGGAGGCAGCAGUGGGGAAUUUUGGACAAUGGGCGCAAGCCUGAUCCAGCAAUGCCGCGUGCAGGAUGAAGGCCUUCGGGUUGUAAACUGCUUUUGUACGGAACGAAACGGCCCUUUCUAAUACAGGGGGCUAAUGACGGUACCGUAAGAAUAAGCACCGGCUAACUACGUGCCAGCAGCCGCAGUAACAC
rnacentral:rRNA from 1 species